AGGUUGGAUAAGACCUCUAAGAUCGUCAAGUCCAACCAUCAGCUCAUCCCCACUGUGCCCACUAAACCAUGUUGCUCAGUGGGGAUACUUGUCAUAUGGAAGAACGUGCAGCCUUGAAAUGGGAUCCAGACCACCCAAUGGCACUGGUUUGCACAUCGCUCUGCUGCUACUGGAGCUACAUGAGUGCACACCAGCAGACAACCCAACACUUACAGAUGCAGAUGAAUAAAUGGAUAUGUGACUGGAUGUUGCAAGAGAUGCGUAUUCAGCAUUUUUGAUCAAAAAAAGAGCAGUUUUUUUCUUGCCAGCUUUAAAAGGAUCAGUUGGCUUUUGCAACGUGCUCACCAAGAAGCCUGCAGAGAGAAAUCCAGCAUGAGUGAAAAUCAACUGAGCAACAUCACAACUAUGUGAAAGGGAAGCAGUAAAAGGAAGGUGUAUCUCACCACUGUUCACUUCUAAUGGGAGUGGAAGCAUUGCACACUCAGGUGCCAAAAUGAGGACCCGAGGGAGAAUUAUCUCAUACAAAUCAAGCAGGAUGCCUGCUGCAGGCCAGCUGAGAGGACAUGACUGUGCCCCAGGGACGAGGGCGCAAUGUCUCCUCGCCGCAUCUCUUAGAGCAGGAUCUGGAAGACAAGGUUGAGGUCCCUCGUGGGCUCCCAUCCCACAGACAGCUGUGUCUGCAGAAGGGUGACCAGCAGACAACAAGGCAGACCUCUGGUUCCUGAUGAUGGAAAACAGAAGAAAUGUGGAAAUAUGCUGUGGCAAGCCACAAGUCUUUAAGAUCCCUUCAAACACUGCCAAAAAUUAAACAGGAGAAAUGCAGGUCCCUGAGCCUGCCGUGAUGGGAGCACUGGGACUGUGAGAGGAGGUGAUCUAUGGCAUGUCCCACCGAUCCCCACACCAGGACCACAGUGCAAAGGGACUGUAAACCCCGAGCUCCUUCCUGCCCUGGACAUGGACUUUCACAGUCAGCAAGAGGAUGGAGAAGAGCAGAGAGAUGCCAGCAUGAAACUGGUCAGAGCCACCACCUGGCUGCCAUGAGUCUCCUGCAGGCUGAGGAAGGUUGUCCUAAGCCAUAGGCACUGUAUCCAGGUGUAUUCUUUGUGCAGUAACUUUUCUCCUGGGAAAGAACACGACUUUAUGGCAGACAGGAAUGCUGACCCACUUGUCUUCUGCUGCAAGCAUCCAUCAAACCUGGCCUCUGUGUCCCCUGGAGCCUUAAUUUUCCUCUUGACAGCAAAGACAAAUGACCGCCGCAGGGCUGUUUGCUCAUAUCUGCUCAAGGUUUCCAUAACAUUUCUUAAAGAUGAGCUGUCUUUUAAACACACAUGGAGUUUUCUCUCUGCUGUCACCUACCAGCAUGAAAGCAGAGUCAGCAGGGAGAGGUGAAUCCCAUUUCAUCCACCAGAGCAAGAAGAGGUGUUUGAAGGUGGAACCAGACUGAGCUUUACUCUUGGGGAUGGAGCUGAGAUCCGGAUAAAAGCAACUGGGAGUGGGACAGUUGUCCCUCACUUUGUGAUGCUGUCCUGGAACCCCAUCACCAAGGGAACAAAGCAGACAUGGGAUGGUGCUCUCCCUACAGGCUUUCUCUUCUCCCAUGCUUCUUGGGUACCUGAGCAUUCAGGAGCACUGCUCGUCUACCAAGAUUUUCAGGAGAUCAUAAAUCAGAGUAAAUCAGCUGUGGGAGUCUCAUGUCUUUGGUUUGGAAUCUGUCAAGGAAACUCAUGCAAUUGGUACAUUUAACCUCAGAUCAGAUCAACACAGAAACAGAAGAAAGCUUUGAUGACAGCAAAGUGUAUGCUGAGAAGAAGGAGAAUGUGAAUUAUUCAGCCAUCUCCACAGGAUAUUUUCCAUAUUACAGAUCAAAUGAGGAGCAGUUUGUCCAGCCUCUCUUAUAUGGCUUAAAUGCAGAGGGAGAUAAGCCUGACAACAACUGGAAAGAUGAAGGAGAAGGUGGAUGUGCAGAGCUUGGUGGAGAUGUUGAGAAGACCACCCACCCAACUCUGGGGACAGAGAGGAGGCCAUGUUCUUCCAUGACCAAUGUAGAGCCAACAUCCCAGCAGCUCCUAGGAGGCAGCAACUUGGGAAGCUGCCUGUCAACCUUCUCCCUGUCCAGCACACCGCCAGGCCUGGACCAGCCCUUUUCUUCCAGUGGAUAUUUCCCUUACUACAGAACAGAAGCAGAGCUCUGCAUCGGCCCAGCAAUGUGUGACAAGUUUCUCACCAGGACAGAAGUUUCGGAGAAUGAAGAGGGAAGACAGGUGGAAGAAAAAAACACUUGGAAUUUUGGUGCCAGAUGCCUGGUGUCCUGAGAACAAAGCAGCAAGUUUGUCAGCAAAAGACAGAGGCUGAUUUAACACAGACGUGAAUUAGAAGUUCUUGAAAGCUAUAGCCACAUGAACAUCUGUAUGAAUAUGGAAUAAAAUAUACACCUCCCUUUGAAUUAAA